rnacentral:rRNA from 1 species
UACGGGGGGAGCAAGCGUUGUUCGGAUUUACUGGGCGUAAAGGGCGCGUAGGCGGUCAGCACAAGUCAGUCGUGAAAUCUCCGAGCUUAACUCGGAAAGGUCAACUGAUACUGUGCGACUAGAGUGCAGAAGGGGCAACUGGAAUUCUUGGUGUAGCGGUGAAAUGCGUAGAUAUCAAGAGGAACACCUGCGGCGAAGGCGGGUUGCUGGGCUGACACUGACGCUGAAGCGCGAAAGCCAGGGGAGCGAACGGG